GAUGAACGCUAGCGGCAGGCCUAACACAUGCAAGUCGAGGGGUAACAGGGAGCUUGCUCCGCUGACGACCGGCGCACGGGUGCGUAACGCGUAUACAAUCUACCUUAUACUGAGGGAUAGCCUUUGGAAACGAAGAUUAAGACCUCAUAGUAUUAUUUUAUUGCAUGAUAUAGUAAUUAAAGGUUACGGUAUAAGAUGAGUAUGCGUCCCAUUAGUUAGUUGGUAAGGUAAUGGCUUACCAAGACGAUGAUGGGUAGGGGUCCUGAGAGGGAGAUCCCCCACACUGGUACUGAGACACGGACCAGACUCCUACGGGAGGCAGCAGUGAGGAAUAUUGGACAAUGGGCGGGAGCCUGAUCCAGCCAUGCCGCGUGCAGGAAGACUGCCCUAUGGGUUGUAAACUGCUUUUAUACAGGAAGAAUAAGAUCUACGUGUAGAUUGAUGACGGUACUGUAAGAAUAAGGACCGGCUAACUCCG
rnacentral:rRNA from 1 species